UACGGAGGGUCCAAGCGUUUAUCCGGAAUCAUUGGGUUUAAAGGGUCCGUAGGCGGUUUUGUAAGUCAGUGGUGAAAGCCCCUCGCUCAACGGUGGAACGGCCAUUGAUACUGCAAGACUUGAAUUAUUAGGAAGUAACUAGAAUAUGUAGUGUAGCGGUGAAAUGCUUAGAGAUUACAUGGAAUACCAAUUGCGAAGGCAGGUUACUACUAAUGGAUUGACGCUGGAGGCGCGAAAGCUGGGGGAGCGAACGGG
rnacentral:rRNA from 1 species